rnacentral:tRNA from 2 species
CACAGAAUAUAUUAAACGGUAAUGUAAUGCGCGCAGGAGACUUAAAAUCUCUCGCUCGCAAGGGCGUGCCGGUUCGAGUCCGGCUUCGGGCACCA